rnacentral:rRNA from 1 species
CACUGCCGAGAAAAGCCUCUAGAUAGAAAAUAGGUGCCCGUACCGCAAACCGACACAGGUAGUCAAGAUGAGAAUUCUAAGGUGAGCGAGCGAACUCUCGUUAAGGAACUCGGCAAAAUGACCCCGUAACUUCGGGAGAAGGGGUGCUCUUUAGGGUUAACGCCCAGAAGAGCCGCAGUGAAUAGGCCCAAGCGACUGUUUAUCAAAAACACAGGUCUCUGCUAAACCGUAAGGUGAUGUAUAGGGGCUGACGCCUGCCCGGUGCUGGAAGGUUAAGAGGAGUGGUUAGCUUCUGCGAAGCUACGAAUCGAAGCCCCAGUAAACGGCGGCCGUAACUAUAACGGUCCUAAGGUAGCGAAAUUCCUUGUCGGGUAAGUUCCGACCCGCACGAAAGGCGUAACGAUUUGGGCACUGUCUCAACGAGAGACUCGGUGAAAUCAUAGUACCUGUGAAGAUGCAGGUUACCCGCGACAGGACGGAAAGACCCCGUGGAGCUUUACUGUAGCCUGAUAUUGAAAUUCGGCACAGCUUGUACAGGAUAGGUAGGAGCCUUUGAAACGUGAGCGCUAGCUUACGUGGAGGCGCUG